UACGUAGGGUGCGAGCGUUAAUCGGAAUUACUGGGCGUAAAGCGUGCGCAGGCGGUUAUGCAAGACAGAUGUGAAAUCCCCGGGCUCAACCUGGGAACUGCAUUUGUGACUGCAUAGCUGGAGUGCGGCAGAGGGGGAUGGAAUUCCGCGUGUAGCAGUGAAAUGCGUAGAUAUGCGGAGGAACACCGAUGGCGAAGGCAAUCCCCUGGGCCUGCACUGA
rnacentral:rRNA from 1 species